UCCCACUAACAGAAACACAGUCGCAAUGUACUUUAAUGCUUGGACUGUUUUUUGAAAAGGGUAGAGUUAAUAUUAUCAUGUACAAGCAGUGCCAUUUGGACAUACACUUUUGUUAUACCUGAUCACUUUGUGUAAAUAAUAAAAGAGAACUCAAAAGCUAUAAACACCUGACUGUCUGCAAUGUUUUCAGAAUACAUGUUUACUUUAAUUCUGCAAUGACUGCUUCAAGUUUUUCCUUAAGGGCGCCGCAAAGUUCAUCCACCUUUUCUUCUUUUUUAUAAAACUGAAAGGUUGGGACACACAUGAUGGCGCACUCUCUCACCACCUCCUCACAGUUGUCAGCGUCCACCUCCAGGAACACCACAUCCUCAUGCUUCACAGACAGGGCAUGGAAGAAUGGUCUGAUGGUCCUGCAGGGCCCACACCACGUGGCCGAGAAGUCCACAGCCACCAGCCUCUCCCCGGCCUCCUUCAGUGAUGCCUCAAAGUCCUCCUUGCUCAGGAUCACUUUCACCUUGUCCCCCUCCGGGAACUCCAUUGUUUCUUCUUCAGGCUUUAGGAUGUCACCCUCCUUGGAUGGGGUGGCUUCUUCUAGGGACUUGGGGCUGUCAUCCUCCUUGGGCUGGAUGGUUUCUUCUGGGGACUUGGGGAUGUCAAUCUCCUUGGGUGGGAUGGCUUCCUCUAGGGACUUGGGAAUGUCACCCUCCUUGGGCUGGAUGGCUUGUUUUGGAGACUUGGGAAUGUCACCCUCCUUGGGCUGGAUGGCUUCUUCUGGGGACUUGGGGAUGUCACCCUUCUUGGGCUGGAUGGUUUCUUCUGGGGACUUGGGGAUGUCACCCUCCUUAGGCUGGAUGGCUUCCUCUAGGGACUUGGGGAUGUCACCCUCCUUGGGCUGGUUGGGGAUGUCACCCUCUUUGGGCUGGAUGGCUUCUUCUGAGGACUUGGGGAGGUCCUCCUUCUUGGAUUGGAUGGUUUCUUCUGGGGCCUUGGGGAUGUCACCCUCCUUGGGCUGGCUGGGCUUCACUGAGGCCUUGGGAAUAUUGCCCAGCUUGGGCUGGAUGGGUUUUGCUGAGGACUUGGGGAUGUUACUCUCUUUGGGCUGGAUGGCUUUUUCUGAGGACUUGGGGAGGUCCUCCUUCUUGGAUUGGAUGGUUUCUUCUGGGGCCUUGGGGAUGUCACCCUCCUUGGGCUGGAUGGUUUCUUCUGAGGACUUGGGGCUGUCAUCCUGCUUGGGAUGGCUGGUGUUUGCUGAGGACUUGGGUAGGUCAUCGCCCUCCUGUGAGGCAUCAGACUCCUCUGUGCGCAUGUGGAACGUGUGGCUGACCAUGGGGAGAAAGGCCUUCUCUUUGGCCUGGGCUAUUUCCAAGAACUCUAGGGCCAGGAGAGGCACGUUGCUGGACAGGACUAGUAAUGAGCUUUCUGU
rnacentral:lncRNA from 1 species